AUGGGCUUCCCCGGCGGCGAACCCCCUACGCUACCGUUGCCGACGCUCGUUAAGCUCGGUCGCGCGAUCACCGAGCAGCAUGUGGACCGAAUGCUCGCGGCGCUCCUCCGCCGCCGCAGGCACCGUCUCGUCGGCGCCCUCGCCUCCCAGGCGCUCGCCAACUCCCUGCGCCCCACCGCCCGCACCCACCUCCUUGCCGCCUCCGCGCUGCUCGACUCCGCGCUCCCCCAUGACGCCGCUCGGCGUCUCGCUCUCGCCGGGUCGGCGUCGUCAUCCCGUCGCCUCUGGGACGCGCUGCUCCGCCGGGCCUGCGCCCAGCGUGGCGACCCUCGCCUUGCGCUGGAGCUGCUCUCCGCUGGUGUAGAGGAUCACGGAGCUGUCCUUUCCCCGUCCACCUAUCGUGCGAUUAUAUCUGAGUUGUGUGCCCGUGGGGACAUGGCCGGGGCGCUCAAGGUGUUCGAUAUAAUGACAGCGAGGGGGUGUCAGGUCGACGACCGUGUUUGUAGUGCGAUCAUUUCUGGCUUCUCCAAGGCCAGCAAGGCCGAGGCUGGCUUGGAGUUCUACAAUAGAGUGAGGAAGGAGGUCAGAGGGUUUGAGCCAGGCCUGGUGACACUGACUGCGGUUGUGAGUUUGCUCGGGAGGCAGGGGAGAAUUGGUGACGUGGCUGAGCUGAUAAGGGAGAUGGAACGGAAGGAUAUGGUGGGUGAUGCGAUGUUCUAUAGUAGCUUGGUUCAUGGAUACAUGAGCAGUGGCCUGUUGAUGGAAGGGUUGCGGGAGCAUCGGCUGAUGUUAGACAAGGGUGUUGCAGCUGAUGUGGUUAAUUACACUAUUGUUAUUGAUGGGAUGUGUAGAGAAGGUAGUGUGGAGAAAGUGAAGGGGUUCAUAGAUGAGAUGGAGCGACGGGGUGCUAAGCCGAAUUUGAUCACUUAUACGUCACUUGUUGGUGGUUACUGCAAGAGGAAUAGGCUAGAGGAUGCCUUUUCCAUAGUGAGGAAACUUGAACAAACAGGUGUAGUGGUGGAUGAGUAUGUAUAUUCAAUUUUAAUCGACAGUUUGUGCAAAAAGGGGGAUUUGGAUAAGGCUGUCUCUUUGCUUGGAGAGAUGGAGAGCAAGGGGGUAAAAGCUGGGACAGUGACAUACAAUGCAGUAAUAAAUGGUUUGUGUAAGGCUGGUGAAACUACCAAGGCCGCGGAAAUGUUUGAAGGUGUUACUGCUGAUAAUUUCACAUAUAGCACUCUGUUACACGGUUACAUUAAGGAAGAGGAUACGACCGGUGUUAUGGCGAUAAAGGCUAGGCUCGAGAGUAGUGGGAUUGCACUUGACGUUGUCACAUGCAAUGUACUUAUCAAAGCAUUAUUUGUGAUCAAGAAGGUGGAUGAUGCCUGCAGCUUGUUUCAUAGAAUGCGUGAUAUGGGCUUAAGCCCUAAUACCGUCACCUAUCAUACACUCAUAGACAUGAUGUGUAAACUUGGGGAUUUUGAUAGGGCAGUUGAGUUGUUUGAUGAGUACAAGAAAGAUACAUCAUUCUCCAGUACUGUUGUUCACAAUGGCCUGAUUGGAGCACUAUGUAAUGGAGGAAAGGUCACCAUUGCUGAUCAAGUCUUCUAUGAUCUCAUUCAUAAAAAACUAAGGCCUGAUUCCUGUACUUACAGGAAGUUGAUUCAUGCAAAUUUCAAAGAAGGUGGUGAAGAAGGUGUGCUAAAUUUCAUUCGUAAGAUGGAUGAACUAGAAAUGGACUUGUUUUCAUCUGUUUGCAAUUAUGCUUCUGAUUUCUUAAGCAGCAGGGAUUGUUGCCAGGCAGCAUUAUAUGUUUACAAGAUACUCAGAACACAAGCCUUUGCUGUAUCAAGCAAAACAUUCUACAGGCUACUCAAGAGCUUACUCCGCAAUGGAAAUGAACAGGUCGUAGAACCAUUGUUAAGUGAGUUCAUUAAGAUCCAUGGCCUGCAUGAACCUAGAAUGAUUAAUAUGCUGUCUUGCCACCUCAGCAAGAAGGGUGUUGGUGAAGCUAUUCGGUUUUCAAGUAACAUGAACAGUGGCAGCAUUCCUAUCAGUGUUCUAAGAGGAGCUGUCUUUGCACUAAAGAAAGAAGGUGAAAUUAUGGAUGCAUAUAAUUUUCUCAAGGAAGCUGAACAAAGUGGGUUUUCUGUGGAUCUUGCCAUGUACUCUAUAGUAGUGGAGGGCCUUUGCAAAGGUGGUUAUCUUGUGAAGGCAUUAGACUUGUGUGAAAGCAUGAAAAGAGAAGGGAUUCAUCCAACCAUUAUCAUCCAUAACUCUGUUCUCAGUGGUUUGUGCCAGCACGGAUGCUUUACUGAAGCAUUCAGGCUCUUUGAUUACUUAGAAAGAAGCGACAUUCUUCCAACAAUGAUAACUUACAGUAUACUUAUAGGUGCUUUGUGCAGAGAAGGUUUCUUAGAUGAUGCAUAUGAAUUGUUUCAGAAAAUGUCCAACAAAGGUAUCAGACCCACUACCCGUGUUUACAACAUGUUAAUAAGUGGUUACUGUAACUAUGGUUUAGCUGAAAAAGCGCUUGAGCUUAUGUCUCGUUUUGAGAAGCUUUGUCUACAUCCGGAUGCUUUUACACUCGGCGCAGUUAUUUGUGGGCAUUGUUUGAAAGGUGACACUGAAGCUGCAUUAGGCUUCUUUAAUGAAUACCAUUGUAAGGAGAUGGCCCCAGAUUUUGUUGGAUUUAUGAGCCUGGUCAAAGGGCUCUAUGCAAAAGGAAGGAUGGAAGAGUCCAGGGGCAUCUUGAGGGAGAUGUUUCAGUCCAAACAAGUUGUUGAGCUAAUAAACAGCGUAGGAUAUGAGGUUGAAACAGAAUCUCUUGUUGCUCUUCUGUCUUCUGCAUGCGAGGAAGGGAAGAUCGAUGAGGUUGUGACUAUCCUAAGUGAAGUGAGACUCAUGUCUGUAUCCUCUUCAGAUUCGAAUAGUUCUAAUACACUUGGUCAGCUCAAGAAGCUGCAGAGAACUGAUGAUGCUUGUGAUCCUAGAACAGAUUCAGAACAAGUUGCCGAUUUUGAUGUUUCUAGCAAUUGCCUCCACGGAAGUUCCCAAAGCACACUGCAGCCCAUGACAGAGAGAACUGAUACUUUAUGCACAGGAAGUGAUAAUACUGAUAUUGACAAUGGCAAUUUGCUAGGGAAGUCUUUCUAUGACGACUUUGAUACAUAUUAUCCUGCUAUUGCUUCCCUUUGCUCGAAAGGGGAGCUGGUUAAGGCCAAUAAGGCAAUUGAAGCAAUGAUUCGGAAUUCUGGUUAA
rnacentral:rRNA from 1 species